AUGAGUUUUAAUGGUGAAAGUUUGAAAUUCUGGGCGAGAGGACACAAGGAGACAGGUGGUGAUGAGGCUGCGAGUGACGUCCCCUUGGCGUUGCUAGGCACCCCUCCCAGCUGCCGGCAUGGAAAGGUCCAGAUUUUGACGGUCAACCUAUGUCAAGAUUUUUACAGCUUCUUUCUCACAGGCUGGGCCAGAUGCCAGUGUCACACUUUGGUGUUUGUUAUGUGGAAAGUACUAAUUUAGUCUGAGGCAACAACACAGGUGGUGGGAUUCUUUUGCACUGUGAGUUGAGAUAUACAUACCAGCUUUCCAAAACAUUUGACCUGGUUGAGAUAUUUUGAACGGUAUGUGCACUACAGAGCUUUGAACUUCGUGCUUGAGGACGGACAAACAGACACAUUUCCAAGAUAGGGGUACCCCAAGUUAAAUUCCUCCUACUCAAAAGUUUUUGCAUGUAUCAAGCUGUAACUUUAUGUGUGAGGUUUAGAAGUAGUAAGCAUUAUGUGGUGCAAAAAUUAUUGAUUUUGAAAAAAGUUGGCUGGUGUGAUAGGACACAGACCCCCAUUACAACUUCCGUUUUUCAGUAGGGACGAUUGUAGUUCUGUGUAUUUUAGGGUGUAAAGUCUUUUUUUGCUGCCAGCCUGCCGUUUUUGGUGUACAGGUGCAUGCUUGGUAUCAAAAUGAUGGAAACUGUCUAAGCUUUGGGCAGGUAUGAGUUUUAAUGGUGAAAGUUUGAAAUUCUGGGCGAGAGGACACAAGGAGACAGGUGGUGAUGAGGCUGCGAGUGACGUCCCCUUGGCGUUGCUAGGCACCCCUCCCAGCUGCCGGCAUGGAAAGGUCCAGAUUUUGACGGUCAACCUAUGUCAAGAUUUUUACAGCUUCUUUCUCACAGGCUGGGCCAGGUAUGCACCAAAGCUUAUUGGCCUCGGAAUAUUUGGGAC